CUACGGGAUGCUCCAGUGGGGAAUAUUGCACAAUGGGCGCAAGCCUGAUGCAGCCAUGCCGCGUGUAUGAAGAAGGCCUUCGGGUUGUAAAGUACUUUCAGCGGGGAGGAAGGGAGUAAAGUUAAUACCUUUGCUCAUUGACGUUACCCGCAGAAGAAGCACCGGCUAACUCCGUGCCAGCAGCCGCGGUAAUACGGAGGGUGCAAGCGUUAAUCGGAAUUACUGGGCGUAAAGCGCACGCAGGCGGUUUGUUAAGUCAGAUGUGAAAUCCCCGGGCUCAACCUGGGAACUGCAUCUGAGACUGGCAAGCUUGAGUCUCGUAGAGGGGGGUAGAAUUCCAGGUGUAGCGGUGAAAUGCGUAGAGAUCUGGAGGAAUACCGGUGGCGAAGGCGGCCCCCUGGACGAAGACUGACGCUCAGGUGCGAAAGCGUGGGGAGCAAACAGGAUUAGAUACCCGGGUAGUC
rnacentral:rRNA from 1 species